AACCUCUUAUCUCUGUGAUGUUCCUCUUGUUGCUAAGCUCCACCCACCCGGGGAACCUGGGACGCAGGAGCUCUGAGGAGCAAGAGGUGACCCUGUCUGUGCAGAGAAGGAGGAGAUGGCACAAGUGUCCAGGAUGCUGAGGGUUGUCGCGGAGUCCGCUUCGAUUAACCCUCCCCUCUACCCCGCUCCCAAAGCCUGCCUGACUGUCUACUUCAGAGAUAUGAAGAAAAGAACUCAUGUAGAGGAAGGAAAUGACCCCAUAUGGAAUGAGACCCUAAUCUGGCACCUCUGGAAUCAGCCACUGGAAAAUGACUCCUUCCUGAAAGUCAUACUUCAGGAUUCAGGUCCUAGAAAGAAAGAAAGGUUCAUUGGCCUGGCCACUGUACCGCUCAAGCAGCUGGCGCAAAGACCAAAGGAAGUCUUGUUUGUGAGGAAGCUGGUCCUGCUCAACCAUUCCAUGAAGCCCACUGAUUGUACUGUCACCCUGCAGGUGGCCCAAAUAUACGACCAGGAUACUAAGAGAACAGGCAAUCAGGAGCUCCUAAGCUCAACGGCAAAUGAGACAACCCAGAAGAAACUAAUGGUCUCUGGCUUCCCCAUGCCCAGGACUCUGGCUUCCAAGCCUCAACACUUUCAGGUUCGGGUUAAGGUUUUUGAAGCCCGACAGCUCCUGGGCAACAACAUCAAACCUGUAGUGAAGAUAAACAUCGCAGGCCAGCAGCAUCUCACUCGGAUCAAGAUGGGAAACAAUCCUUUCUUCAAUGAGAUAUUCUUCCAGAAUUUCCAUGAGGUUCCCGUAAAGUUCUUUGAGGAGAACAUCUCAAUAGAGGUGGUGGACUCUGCGGCAUCAAGAUCUAAAGCAGAGAUUGGGAGAUUCCAAACAGACAUUGGGUUUAUCUACCAUUCCCCAGGUCACACACUCCUAAGGAAAUGGCUAGGCCUCUGCCAGCGAAAUCAGACCACCAGCGGAGUUAGAGGCUACUUAAAAGUCACCAUCUGUGCCCUCGGUGUGGGGGAUCAGGCGCUGGUAGAUCAAAAGCUGCCCUAUGAUCGUGACAGCCAAGUCCAGAUCUUCAAGUCAAAAGAAGUUCCAGUCCGCCUGGCUUAUUUACAGUUCUUCAUCUACUGCGCAGAGGACCUCCAUUUCAACAGCCACCAGUCAGUCACUCCUGCGUUGGAGGUGGAACUAAUUGGGGACAAGCUCAGCACAAAGCCACACAGCCAGUCGGACAACCCGAUAUGGAACCAAAUCCUCACCUUCCAGAUUCAGCUGCCCUGUCUCUCUAGCUACAUCAAAUUCAGAGUCGUGGAUUGCUCCAAACACAAUUGCCAGGAUGAGAUUGGGUCUGCCAGCUUGUGCCUCAGCCAGAUCUCAUCCACCGGUGAGGAGAUCCAAGGGAUGUACUCUGGCUUCCUGCCCUGCUUUGGCCCCAGCUUCCUGACUCUCCGGGGAGGUAAAAAGCUCCCUUUCAGGACCACAGAGGAAGGCACUUGCAUCCUCGAUGCUGUUAAGGAUGGGUUAGCUUACCGUGGCCGAAUCUUUAUGGAGAUAAUCACCAAGAUCAAGUCACAGCAAGACUCGGUGAUAAAGGAUCUGUCUCAGGAAGUGACCCAGGUGGAGAUGCAGCAGUAUCGCCAAAAGUACGGGCUGUGCGUUGUCUUUCUUUCCUGUACCAUGAUGCCCAAAUUUAAGGACCUGAUUCAAUUUGAGGUCAGCAUGGGGCACUACGGAAACAAGAUGGAUCCAAACUACAAGCUUCUUGUGUCCACCACACAGCACAGCCCGGUGAUAUAUGAUGGGACUAGCUACCAUUAUGUGCCCUGGUACAACACGAAGCCUGUGGUGGCUGUGACCUCCAACUGGGAGGAUGUCAGCUUCCGAAUGAACUGCCUCAACCUCCUCCACAUUGUUCGGGAUCGACUGAAAACCAACCUGGACAUCCUGAAAUCCAUAAGGAAUCCCAGAGAUCCAGCUCUGCUCCAACAGUGGGAGAAACUGUUGAGGGAGCUGCAGGAGGACUGCCGGCGCCCUCUGCCUUGUAUGACUGAUCAGCCCAGAGCUAACAGCUUGGACAAGAAUAAAUGGCAGCUUCGCAACCAGCUUCUGCAGCAACUGGCGCAAAGGGCCAAGGAAGCCAAGCCGGUGAACGUGGUGGGCACGGCAGAGGAGUGGUUGCACCGUCUCAACGCUGUGAUCCCUGAGCCCCAGGAGAGCCUCCCGGAUGUGCUGAUCUGGUUGAUGUCCAGGCAGCAGCGUGUGGCCUAUGCUCGGGUACCUGCUCACACUGUCCUGUUCUCCCCAGAAGGACCCCUGAGGUCUGGCAAGUUCUGUGGGAAGAUUCAGAACCUCCUCUUACAGUACCCAGAAGGUGAAGGACAGGACACAUUCCCAGCCUCCCUCCGGGUCUGCAUGUGGCUUGGCAAUGUCAAAUACAGCAAGAAUCUGAAGCUGCUCCAGCAGGGCACCAUGGUGGUGUAUGCAGAAACGUAUGAGAAUCAGGCCAAGAUCAAAGAUGACUGGGGACAGCAAGGGCUAUACCACUGCCCCAACUUCUCAGAUGUCAUGGGACACAAGGCUCUCCCCAAGACAGACUUCAAGGCUCCCCCAGGAUGGCAUUGGAAGGAUGACUGGGUAGUAGAACCUCAGAGGAGACUCCUCCUAGACAUAGACAUCAACAAGAGCCAGGUACUGGAAGAGGUGUAUGAGAACCAGAUUCGAAAUGCCACAGGUGCCUGGGUGCCUGCAGCUGUCCCCAACUCGAACGUGAAUGGACAGCCUGUGGAAGCCCCGGAGAAUGUGAAGUGUCCCCCAGGCUGGCACUUUAAGAAGAAUUGGAUUGUGGACCUCAACCAUGCAGUGGACAGUGAAGGCUGGGAGUAUGGAGUAGGGAUCCCACCCUCCGGCCUGCCCCAGAUCUGGAAUUCAGUAGAAAAGACUUACCACUCACACCGCCGGCGUCGGUGGGUGCGCAUGCGCUUUCGGAAUCACAGGGAGCGGGGCCAGGAGCUGAGCCAGGAGCAGGAGACCCUCUCCUUCCUGCAGAUGCAAGACAUCUCUGGGGAGAGAAAGGAAGGCUGGGAGUAUGGCACAUUUGACUCCAGGUUCCACCUGAACCCUCAGCCCACAAGCUGCUUCCGUCGCCGCUGCUGGCACCGACAGCUGGCGCCCAACAAGGACAGGGGUGUAGCUCCCAUAUUCCUCCUGGAGGGGUCCCUGGCAGUGGAGCAGAAAAAACAACCCAGGAAGGAAGAGGAGAAGACUUGGUCUUGGUAUCCCUGGAAGGACUGGAGGCACACCCUGGAGGAUCCCCGAAUCCCCACCAUGCCUUUCAUCUACUGCAUCCUCAACAAGCCUCACUACUACCAGCUCUUCUGCUAUAUCUACCAGGCCCGGAAUCUGAAGUACAACCAGGUCCUGACCUUUCAGGAGCCUUUCAUCCAAGUGGUCUUCCUGAACCACAGCUUGUGCACCCAGACCCUGCGAAGCUCUGCAGCUCCGACGUGGUCCCAGACGCUCAUCUUCCAGCACCUUCUGCUGUUUGAAGACCCCAAAGAUACCAGAGAGAACCCCCCACUUGUGGUGCUGGAAUUGUGGCAACAUGACUCACGGGGAAACAAAGUCUUGUGGGGACGGAGCAUGUGGCCCCCAGUCAUCUGGCUGGGCCUCCAAGACUGGGUCUUUACCCCACUGAGGUGGCAUCCCCUUGUAAGACAGUUGGGAGAGGAAGAGGGCGAGAUCUUGGCAUCCUGUGAACUGAUCCUAGAGACACAGAAGCUGAAAGAGCUACAUCUGCCAAUCCUAAGCAUCCCCUGUAAGAACGGGAUUUACUUGCUGCCCAAGAACAUUCAGCCUACUGUGAAAAUGAUGGCCAUUGAGAUGAUGGCCUGGGGCCUUCGGAACAUGACCAACGUGCGUUACCCCCAGCUCCUCCUGGAAUGUGGGGAAGAGUCCCUGAGGACAGAACCCAUCAGCAACUUCCAAGAGAAUCCCAACUUCCCUACGUCUGCCUUCUUCUUCACUGUGUUCAUGCCUUUGGAGGACACCCAUGCACAGCCCCUGGUGGUGAAAGUGGUGGACAACCAGGAAUACGGCCAGCAGAUUGUGGUCGGUCAGGCCAACAUUGACUUCCUCCAGCCCUAUUUCUGUGACCCAUGGUCUCUCAGCUACACAGCUGUAAAGCUGCCAACUCUGUCUGUGAAGAAGCCCGAUACUGUGCUGGGAUUACGAUUACAGUUCCUAGACUUUGUCUACAAGAAGUUCUGGUUCAAUUCCAGCAAAGACGAGGAUGACUAUGAGCAGGAGGUGGACUGGUGGAGCAAGCUAUCCUGGGCCACGGGCAAUGCAGACAAGUCCCUGAACUACAGCUACAAAAGCUACCACACCCUAAAGGUAUAUGACUGUGAGCUGGAGGCCGUUCUAGCCUUCCAGGGCCUGCAGGACUUUUGCCAGACCUUCAAACUUUACCAAGAGAAGCCCAAGGUGGACAGUCCCGUGGUAGGGGAAUUCAAGGGCCUCUUCCGCAUCUACCCCUUUCCUGAGGACCCAGAUUCCCCUAAACCCCCACGUCAGUUCUCUGCUUGGCCUGAGAUUGAGGACUUCCCUCAGAUAUGCUUGGUACGGGUAUAUCUGAUACGAGCCAUCAACCUGCAGCCACAGGACUACAAUGGCCUGUGUGACCCUUAUGUGAUCCUGAAACUGGGACAGACAAAACUUGGCAGCCGGGACUCAUACUACCCCAACACUCUGGAUCCCAUCUUUGGCACGAUGUACGAGCUCACCUGUAACAUCCCGCUGGAGAAGGACCUGGAGAUUCAGCUGUAUGACUUUGACCUAAUUACUUCUGAUGAUGAAAUUGGAAGUACAGUCAUUGAUCUUGAGAACCGACUUCUGUCUGGCUUUGGGGCCCGUUGUGGGCUCCCUAAAUCCUACUGCAAGUCAGGGCCCUUUAAGUGGAGGGAUCAGAUGGCCCCGAGCUACCUUCUGUACCAACAUGCCAAACAGAAAGGGCUGCCUCCACCUGUAUUUGACCCUGAGGAAGAGUCAAUUUACUACAAUGGGAAAAAAUUCAAGUUGCAGAACUUUGAGUCCACACCUCCUACCUAUGAGCAUUUGGGGCCCAAGAAGGAGCGCCUGGCACUGUACAUCCUGAAUACCCAGGGCUUGGUUCCUGAGCAUGUAGAGACUCGAACGUUGCACAGUAACAGCCAGCCAGGUAUUGACCAGGGAAAAAUACAGAUGUGGGUGGAUAUCUUCCCCACAAUGCUGGGGCCUGCUGGGCCACAAGUCAACAUCAGUCCCAGGAAGCCUAAAAGGUACCAACUGCGCUGUAUCAUCUGGAGCACGGCUGAAGUGGACCUGGUCCGAGAGACCUUCAGUAGAGAGAAAAUGAGCGAUAUCUACGUGAAAGGGUGGCUCUUUGGGCUAGAGAAGGAUGCUCAGAAGACAGAUGUCCACUACCACUCCUUGACUGGGGAGGCCAACUUCAACUGGAGGUUCAUCUUUACCAUGGACUAUCUGACAACGGAGCGUGUAUGCGUCCAAAGCCAGAAGGACUACAUAUGGAGCAUGGAUCCCACACCAAUGAAGUUUCCAGCCCGGCUCAUCAUCCAGAUAUGGGACAAUGACUUCUUUUCCCCAGACGACUUCUUAGGGGUCUUGGAGCUGGAUUUAUCAGACAUGCCCAAUCCGGCUCAGAACAUCAGGCAAUGUUCCCUCAAGAUGAUGGAGACUGAAGGGUCCAAAUGGCCCUUCACCCCACAGAAACGUAUCUCUCUCUUUAAGAAGACAAAUGUAACUGGAUGGUGGCCUUGUCAGGUCCUCGAUGGUGACAAGUGGCGUUUGUCGGGUAAAGUCAAGAUGACCCUUGAGAUGCUGUCAGAGAAGGAAGCUCUAGUCAGGCCAGCCGGGAGAGGCCAGUCCGAACCCAACCAGUUCCCUACACUUCAUCCUCCUGAGCGAAAUAACUCCACUUUACUGUGGUACCAGUCACCUAUUAAAAACUUCUGCUAUGUUGUCUGCAAACGCUACCGCUCCAAAAUCAUAUGCUUAGUGGUGAUAUUGGCUAUAGGAUUCAUACUGUGGAACUUUGUCUAUUCUGCUCCGAGCCACCCUAAGACUUGGGGGUUGGGAUGGAAGACAAUGUGAAAGGCUGAAAAUGGCAUCUCUGCGAGACUUGGAGAGUGACGCCACAUUUAAUCACCCCAUCUAGUCCUGGGCAGAGGAAGGGUAACUGUGUGCCAUACACAGAGGCCACGGCUUCUACUUAAGUGUGAGUGUGCACAAGAGCCACCCUGGGCCAGGCACCACCUCCUCCAGCACAUACUCUGGGGCUACAACACCAGAAAGAUAGCCUCACUCGUCAUGGAAAACAUUUGCUUCUGCAACAAAAAACAAGAGUUGGGGAAGGAUGCAGGAUGCUGAAGGGAACUGUAGUAGCAAAUUCCUCCUCAAAACUGCUGAGCUAACCACUCCAGAAUGAUCCCAGUGCAAGUCAAUGCAGAGGGGCAGAGUGAUGAAGGGGAAAGGAAGAC